rnacentral:tRNA from 1 species
AAGGUUUUAAGUUAAUUAAACUAUUAGCCUUCAAAACUAAAAUUAAAAGUAAAUACUUUUAAACCUUA